GCCUCGUGAAUUCAUCUCCGGGGGUAGAGCACUGUUUCGGCAAGGGGGUCAUCCCGACUUACCAACCCGAUGCAAACUGCGAAUACCGGAGAAUGUUAUCACGGGAGACACACGGCGGGUGCUAACGUCCGUCGUGAAGAGGGAAACAACCCAGACCGCCAGCUAAGGUCCCAAAGUCAUGGUUAAGUGGGAAACGAUGUGGGAAGGCCCAGACAGCCAGGAUGUUGGCUUAGAAGCAGCCAUCAUUUAAAGAAAGCGUAAUAGCUCACUGGUCGAGUCGGCCUGCGCGGAAGAUGUAACGGGGCUAAACCAUGCACCGAAGCUGCGGCAGCGACGCUGAUGCGUUGUUGGGUAGGGGAGCGUUCUGUAAGCCUGUGAAGGUGUGCUGUGAGGCAUGCUGGAGGUAUCAGAAGUGCGAAUGCUGACAUAAGUAACGAUAAAGCGGGUGAAAAGCCCGCUCGCCGGAAGACCAAGGGUUCCUGUCCAACGUUAAUCGGGGCAGGGUGAGUCGACCCCUAAGGCGAGGCCGAAAGGCGUAGUCGAUGGGAAACAGGUUAAUAUUCCUGUACUUGGUGUUACUGCGAAGGGGGGACGGAGAAGGCUAUGUUGGCCGGGCGACGGUUGUCCCGGUUUAAGCGUGUAGGCUGGUUUUCCAGGCAAAUCCGGAAAACUAAGGCUGAGGCGUGAUGACGAGGCACUACGGUGCUGAAGCAACAAAUGCCCUGCUUCCAGGAAAAGCCUCUAAGCAUCAGGUAACAUCAAAUCGUACCCCAAACCGACACAGGUGGUCAGGUAGAGAAUACCAAGGCGCUUGAGAGAACUCGGGUGAAGGAACUAGGCAAAAUGGUGCCGUAACUUCGGGAGAAGGCACGCUGAUAUGUAGGUGAAGUCCCUCGCGGAUGGAGCUGAAAUCAGUCGAAGAUACCAGCUGGCUGCAACUGUUUAUUAAAAACACAGCACUGUGCAAACACGAAAGUGGACGUAUACGGUGUGACGCCUGCCCGGUGCCGGAAGGUUAAUUGAUGGGGUCAGCGCAAGCGAAGCUCUUGAUCGAAGCCCCGGUAAACGGCGGCCGUAACUAUAACGGUCCUAAGGUAGCGAAAUUCCUUGUCGGGUAAGUUCCGACCUGCACGAAUGGCGUAAUGAUGGCCAGGCUGUCUCCACCCGAGACUCAGUGAAAUUGAACUCGCUGUGAAGAUGCAGUGUACCCGCGGCAAGACGGAAAGACCCCGUGAACCUUUACUAUAGCUUGACACUGAACAUUGAGCCUUGAUGUGUAGGAUAGGUGGGAGGCUUUGAAGUGUGGACGCCAGUCUGCAUGGAGCCGACCUUGAAAUACCACCCUUUAAUGUUUGAUGUUCUAACGUUGACCCGUAAUCCGGGUUGCGGACAGUGUCUGGUGGGUAGUUUGACUGGGGCGGUCUCCUCCUAAAGAGUAACGGAGGAGCACGAAGGUUGGCUAAUCCUGGUCGGACAUCAGGAGGUUAGUGCAAUGGCAUAAGCCAGCUUGACUGCGAGCGUGACGGCGCGAGCAGGUGCGAAAGCAGGUCAUAGUGAUCCGGUGGUUCUGAAUGGAAGGGCCAUCGCUCAACGGAUAAAAGGUACUCCGGGGAUAACAGGCUGAUACCGCCCAAGAGUUCAUAUCGACGGCGGUGUUUGGCACCUCGAUGUCGGCUCAUCACAUCCUGGGGCUGAAGUAGGUCCCAAGGGUAUGGCUGUUCGCCAUUUAAAGUGGUACGCGAGCUGGGUUUAGAACGUCGUGAGACAGUUCGGUCCCUAUCUGCCGUGGGCGCUGGAGAACUGAGGGGGGCUGCUCCUAGUACGAGAGGACCGGAGUGGACGCAUCACUGGUGUUCGGGUUGUCAUGCCAAUGGCACUGCCCGGUAGCUAAAUGCGGAAGAGAUAAGUGCUGAAAGCAUCUAAGCACGAAACUUGCCCCGAGAUGAGUUCUCCCUGACUCCUUGAGAGUCCUGAAGGAACGUUGAAG
rnacentral:rRNA from 1 species